rnacentral:rRNA from 1 species
AAUGAACGCUGGCGGCAGGCCUAACACAUGCAAGUCGAACGGAAACACGAAAAGCUUUCUCGUUUGGCGGUAGCGUGGGGCGGGUGUGUGAAACGUCGAGGACCUUCCUAUAUGACGGGGGUAACUUCGUGGAAACGGUACCAAUAACCGCUAAAAUGCUCAACAGCAUAGAGCAGGAGUUAAGGGCGUCUUUCCUGCAGAUGUUCGCUGAUGCCGCGACGCAUUAGCUGGUUGGUAAGGUAACGGCUUACCAAGGCAACGAUGCGUAGCCGACCUGAGAGGAUGAUCGGCCACACUGGAACUGAGACACGGUCCAGACUCCUACGGGAGGCAGCAGUAGGGAAUAUUGCGCAAUGGGCGAAAGCCUGACGGAGCAAUGCCGCGUGAGUGAAGAAGGUCUUCGGAUUGUAAAACUCUGUUAUUAGGGAAGAAAAAAUGUGUAAGUAACUAUGCACGUCUUGACGGUACCUAAUCAGAAAGCACCGGCUAACUACGUG